GACGAACGCUGGCGGCGUGGAUUAGGCAUGCAAGUCGAACGGUAUCAUCCUUUCGGGGGUGAGAGAGUGGCGAACUGGUGAGUAACACGUAGGUUAUCUACCCUCAAGACGGGGACAACCCAGGGAAACUUGGGCUAAUACCGGAUGUGAGCAACUUUUUAGUUGUUUGAAAGGUGGCGUAAGCUGUCGCUUGGGGAUGAGCCUGCGUCCUAUUAGUUAGUUGGUGAGGUAACGGCUCACCUAGGCAAUGAUAGGUAGGCGGCCUUAACGGGUGGUCGCCCACACUGGGAUUGAGAUACGGCCCAGACUCCUACGGGAGGCAGCAGUCGAGAAUAGUCUACAAUGGUCGGAAGACUGAUAGUGCGACGCCGCGUGAACGAUGAAUCCCUUCGGGGUGUAAAGUUCUUUUCUAUACGAGCAGUGCUAUAUAUAUGGAUAGUAUAUAUAGAGGGAUAGUAGUAUAGGAAUAAGCAACGGACUAACUCCGUGCCAGCAGCCGACGGU
rnacentral:rRNA from 1 species